GACGAACGCUGGCGGCGUGCUUAACACAUGCAAGUCGAACGGAAAGGCCCUGCUUUUGUGGGGUGCUCGAGUGGCGAACGGGUGAGUAACACGUGAGUAACCUGCCCUUGACUUUGGGAUAACUUCAGGAAACUGGGGCUAAUACCGGAUAGGAGCUCCUGCUGCAUGGUGGGGGUUGGAAAGUUUCGGCGGUUGGGGAUGGACUCGCGGCUUAUCAGCUUGUUGGUGGGGUAGUGGCUUACCAAGGCUUUGACGGGUAGCCGGCCUGAGAGGGUGACCGGCCACAUUGGGACUGAGAUACGGCCCAGACUCCUACGGUAGGCAGCAGUGGGGAAUAUUGCGCAAUGGGCGGAAGCCUGAUGCAGCAACGCCGCGUGCGGGAUGACGUCCUUCGGGUUGUAAACCGCUUUCGCCUGUGACGAAGCGUGAGUGACGGUAAUGGGUAAAGAAGCACCGGCUAACUACGUG
rnacentral:rRNA from 1 species